GGUAAUAGCUCAGUGGUAUAGCACAUGCUCAGCAUGCAUGAGGCCCUGGGUUCAAUUCCCCAGUAUUACCA
rnacentral:tRNA from 1 species